CUACGGGCCGCAGCAGUGGGGAAUAUUGGACAAUGGGGGAAACCCUGAUCCAGCAAUGCCGCGUGUGUGAAGAAGGCCUGCGGGUUGUAAAGCACUUUCGGUUGGGAGGACUGCUUCUAGCACUAAUAUUGUUGGAAGUUGACGUUACCUUCAGAAGAAGCACCGGCUAACUCCGUGCCAGCAGCCGCGGUAAUACGGAGGGUGUAAGCUUUAAUCGGAAUUACUGGGCGUAAAGCGCGCGUAGGCGGCUAGAUCAGUCGGGUGUGAAAGCCCCGGGCUUAACCUGGGAACUGCAUCCGAUACUGUCUAGCUUGAGUACAGGAGAGGAGAGUGGAAUUCCACAUGUAGCGGUGAAAUGCGUAGAUAUGUGGAGGAACACCAAUGGCGAAGGCAGCUCUCUGGCCUGAUACUGACGCUGAGGUGCGAAAGCGUGGGGAGCAAACAGGAUUAGAUACCCGCGUAGUC
rnacentral:rRNA from 1 species